rnacentral:rRNA from 1 species
CCUACGGGCGGCAGCAGUAGGGAAUAUUGCUCAAUGGGGGAAACCCUGAAGCAGCAACGCCGCGUGGAGGAUGAAGGUUUUCGGAUUGUAAACUCCUUUUGUUAGAGAAGAUAAUGACGGUAUCUAACGAAUAAGCACCGGCUAACUCCGUGCCAGCAGCCGCGGUAAUACGGAGGGUGCAAGCGUUAUUCGGAAUCACUGGGCGUAAAGAGCGCGUAGGCGGGAUAGCAAGUCAGAUGUGAAAUCCUAGGGCUUAACCAUAGAACUGCAUUUGAAACUGUUAUUCUAGAGUAUGGGAGAGGUAGGUGGAAUUCUUGGUGUAGGGGUAAAAUCCGUAGAGAUCAAGAGGAAUACUCAUUGCGAAGGCGACCUGCUAGAACAUAACUGACGCUGAUGCGCGAAAGCGUGGGGAGCAAACAGGAUUAGAUACCCCUGUAGUC